CUUCCUUUCGGAGAGGGUGAGGAGAGGCGCAGGAUAAGAAUUUCGCUGCUCCUCUCUGCUCCGCUCCGCAUGUGCAUGACAUGGUGAUGAUUUUCGUCAACUCCUCACCCGCGUGGAGAGGUUUGUGCUUGUAAAGAUCAGCAGACGGGCGGUUGUUAAAUUUGAUCUUCGGCGGUCUAUGAUCAGCAGACGGGCGGCUGUUAAAUUUGAUCUUCGGCGGUCUAUGAUCAGCAGAUGGGCAGCUGUUAAAUUUGAUCUUCGGCGGUCUAUGAAGGAAAGAAAGCCGAAAUUUAUCUCAGAACAGCUACGUAUUUUUAGAGGCGCUCUUCGGCUAUUCCUCUCUGAUGUCCUUAACGGCCUGUGGCGCGUAGGCGUGGAUAAAGCGUAGGAUGUCCUGCCGGAGUAGAUCCAGGGCUCGCUCUCUCCUGAGCAGGCCAUCCACAUCUCCCAGAUCAUUGGGAAAGGCGGCGUCGGGCGGGAUGACGAGCGCUGACGCCCCUGUGGGGGGGAGACGGCGGGGUAGUUUGGUCCAAGGGAAAAUUGGUGGCGUAAUGAUGACAUGCGGAAAUGUACCAUGCUUGAGAGUGCUAGAGUUCUCGCAGAGGAGCACCGCAAUCACUGCGUCUUCCUGUACUACCUGCCGUCGCAGGCUUAAUUUGCAGUGGGCCUCUGCUAAAGAGAUCCUGUUACAACAAACAUGAGAAGGAUCACUUUAUUUUUUGGAGGGGGGGGGCUAAUACAUUUUUAAAUGUACUAAAUGAA